AGAGUUUGAUUCUGGCUCAGAACGAACGCUGGCGGCGUGUUUAAGACAUGCAAGUCGCACGGUGUCAUUUAUGUAGCAAUACUUGGAUGGCACAGUGGCGCACGGGUGAGUAACACGUGAAUGACAUGCCCUUGAGUGGGGAAUAGCCCAGGGAAACUUGGAUUAAUACCCCAUGGCAUCGCGAGAUUAAAGGCGGCCGCAAGGCUGUCGCUCAAGGAUUGGUUCGCGUUCUAUCAGCUUGUUGGCGGGGUAACGGCCCACCAAGGCUACGACGGAUACCUGGUCUGAGAGGACGAUCAGGCACACUGGAACUGAGACACGGUCCAGACACCUACGGGUGGCAGCAGUCGAGAAUAAUUCACAAUGGGGGCAACCCUGAUGGUGCAACGCCGCGUGGAGGAUGACGGUCUUCGGAUUGUAAACUCCUGUCAUCCGGGAGUAAGACCUGGGAGUUAAUAGCUCACAGGGUUGAUAGUACCGGAAGAGGAAGGGACGGCUAACUUCGUGCCAGCAGCCGCGGUAAUACGAAGGUCCCGAGCGUUGUUCGGAAUCACUGGGCGUAAAGGGAGCGUAGGCGGCGUGGUAAGUCAGACGUGAAAUCCCGGGGCUCAACCCCGGAACUGCGUCCGAUACUGCCAUGCUUUGAGGGUUGGAGAGGUAGCUGGAAUUCUUGGUGUAGCAGUGAAAUGCGUGGAUAUCAAGAGGAACACUCGUGGCGAAAGCGAGCUACUGGACAACACCUGACGCUGAGGCUCGAAGGCCAGGGGAGCGAAAGGGAUUAGAUACCCCUGUAGUCCUGGCAGUAAACGGUGCACGCUUGGUGUGAGGGGAUUCGCCCCCC
rnacentral:rRNA from 1 species